rnacentral:rRNA from 1 species
AUGCAGGGAGACUUCACCACCACCCAGGAGCAGCAGCAGGUGACGACGAGUGGUUUGCCAGCAGCUCGCGGGAGGGAGGGCGUCUCCAAGUUGGAAGCAGAGGAGGCCGCGUCCGCCGUGGAUCCAGUGGGAAUGAGGCCGCCGCCGCCGUGGAUCCAGGGGUCAGGGAGGCCGCCGCCGCCGCCGCUGCCGUGGAUUCAGGGGGAGGAAGGCGACGUCACUGUGGAUCUAGUGGCAGCGCUGCCGCCGCGGUGGACCCAGGGUGAGGGAGGCCGCCGCCCUGUGGAAGCUGGCGGAUGGAGGCCGGCGGUGUGCUGGAUUGGAGGGAGCCGGGGGACGAAUCGUGGGGAGGAAUGGGAGGGUGCUGGUACUGGCGGCGGCGCGCAGGAUUCCAGUCGGCGGCGUGCGGGUGGUCCCCGGCGACGGGUGGCUCCGGGAUCUUCGAUGGGUAGGUGGGUCGGGGUCUGGGAUCGAGGGAGAGUGGGAGGUGAGGGACGGACGGUAGGUGGGUCGGGGUCGGGGAUCGAGUCCCUGUUCAUGGGCUUUUUGUUUUAG